rnacentral:lncRNA from 1 species
UUGUCAAAGCAGGACCAGCUGGGAUUCUUUGGCUGACUCCCAGAUGCGACUGUGAAGAAGCGGAUAUUGGGUGCUCUCCCACCUCGUCAGGAGCAGCGUUCUCCUGCCUGCUCUUGGCACCCCCUAGCAUCCUGUGCCCUGCUAAGGUGUUAACUGACAACUGACAGAUUUUACUAAGAGCCUACUCUUCCCAGUAGUAUUUUCACUUCAAAAGUUGACUUAAAAACU